GAUAUAAUAUAUAUAAAUAACGUCCCCUUAAUGUUUGGCAUGUAGUACUUUUUAACAAGUUAAUUUACAGUUCAAGAACCAAACUAUUAAUUAUGGUUUACAGUGUGAUCAUGGAGGAAUGGGCAAACUUAAAUUGGAAGAGGAUAAAAUAUUGGUCCAUUUUGGGAGGAAAACUAAAGCAAAUGUGAAUAAACUUAUGGGCAAAGCAAGGUUGCGUACCUAUAUAUAAGGGCCUCAUCACUGGAGCUUUCUUGCACAACACCUUCUCUCCUCCAUGCCUCUGCAGAGACCUUCAGACUUAUUCAGAAUUCAGAGAGAGAAAGAGAGAAGGGCCAGCCGGUGUAGCAGCAAUGUCUUGGGGAAGCAUCCAAAGGGAUCGCAUUGAUCCUUCAUCGCUCUCGCUCGCUUCCAUGGCGGUCGUCGUCUACAAGCAGCUUGACGGAUCAUGCGAUCCUUUUGGAGGCUUCCUCUAGCCAUUAAAACUUCGAUCUCCGUCUUGAGUUCUUGAUAUUCAUGGUGCAUGUUCUUCAUUGUUGGGUUCAGACGUCUUGCGUUCUUAGCUGCAGUCGUCUGUGAGAUCACUAGGUAGCAGCUGGCGCCGUCAUUGAUGCAAAUUAAUCACCGAAUCCAAGAACUGUUAUAUAUAUGGUUGUAUUUGCAUCUAUAUUAAUUAUAUUGUGUAUUUUCAUCAGCUAGCUCCAGUUGAUCAUCCUGGCUGUACAAGAAUCCUUCUAGUGUUAGCACUGUCUAGCUAGGUUAAUUUCCUUUUUUUCAUGUUAUUAAUUGUAGUUCAGAUUGGAGCAAUAAUAAAGUGAUGAUAUGAUUAUUUUGGUUUUCUUGGAAUAUAUACGAUCAAUUAAUUUGUGAUAUAGAUCUAGCAUCUGGUGGAUUGUAAGUAUUUCUAAUUGAACUUUUACUCUAGAAAACAGUAAAAUAUACUUAAAGUGCAUAUCUAGAGAGCUAAUGAUUAAAGCACAGAAUUUAUGUAUAUAUGCACGAUAAUAUGUGAUCACAUACUAUAUAAUGGCAAAGUUUCACCUCAAGCACUCCACAUGCAUACUAGCUAUAUAUAUGAUCAGAUUAUGUGUUUGAAAUGCUAAUAUGCUUAUGACAUUUAUCUUAACGUGUUAUGGUUUGACAUAAUUAUUUAUACCACUUUUUUCGGGAAUAUGCAAAAGAUUUAUAUGUGUAUCAUUGCAAUUAAUACUUGAAGUUAGUUACAACAUUUUUAUAUCACUGAAAAUUUUGAUUUGGUGUACACUAAGUACGACUAAUAGGUUUAGACAUUUGCCUUUUACGUUCAACAAAUGACCACAACCUGUUGAAAUGUUUGGUUCUCCUUAAUUAUAUAUAUGGAGCAGCAUACAAAAUAUACAUAGUUUAUUAAGCUCCUGAUUAACAAAGCGUAAUAUAAAAGUCAAAUUAUUUUUUCUUAGUAAUAAACUCAGAUGCAUGCAUAGCUAAUAUGAGAUUCUGAACAUUGAUCCUGGACAGGGAAUACAUGUUUUACACGAGGAAUUUUUGCUGCUCAAAGUUGCGCACCUUUCCGCAAUUGGAGUUGCAUGAUCAAUAAUGAUGCUCAUAAGCAAGAGUUUUUGCCUACCCUCUUUCAAAAAAAAGAAAAGUUUGCUUAGCUAUAAGACAAAAGAUGAACAAUUACUAGGGAGUAGAGGAAGAAAAGGCCACCAUUAUACUCCCUCCGUUUUAUUCUAACCGUAGCUGUUAGUUCUUGUGUCCAACGUUUGACUGUCCAUCUUUUUAAAAAAAAUUAUGAAAGAGUUUUUAAAAAUAAGUCACGCAUAAAAUACUAUUCAUGUUUUAUCAUCUAAUAAUAAUAGAAUAUUAAUCAUAAAAAAAUUUAAAUAACACGGACGGUUAAAUGUUAGACAAAAAAUCCCACAACACACUUUAAAUGGGACGGAAGGAAGGAGCAUGUAGGUUUUGACCACCAGGUUUUGAAGCAUCUCCAAAAGUGAGAUUGCUCAUAUACUACAUCAGAGCCAGCAUCAUCGGCAAUUCGGCAUCCACAGCAAGCUGAUCUGUUGCACCAUCCAUUUCUUUGGGAUCUUAUUUGUUCACUGUACUCAAGAUUCGUGCAAAUAUCAGACAUAAUAUAUAAAUGAAGUUUUGGCUC